CAAAGGUAAAAGGCUAAAAGAAACAGAGUAAGCUUGUUUAGUCCUUUUAGGAUACUAUAACAAAACACCGUGGACUAGGUAUCUUAUAAACAACAGACAUUUAUUGCUCACAGUUCUGGAGGCUGGAAUUCCAAGAUCAAGUCGGGGCAGAUUCAGUGUCUGGUGAGAACCCACUUCCUGGUUCACAGAUGGAGCCUUCUCACUGAGUCCUCACGUGGUAGAAGGGGCAAGGAAGCUCUCUGGGUCCUCUUUUAUGAGGGCACUCGUCCCAUUCAUGAGACUCCACCCUCAUGACCUCCCAAAGGCCCCACCCCUACUAUAUUCUCACAGUAUUUAAUCAGAAACCGUGGCUUCACAUAAGAUGAUGAGCAU
rnacentral:lncRNA from 1 species